rnacentral:rRNA from 1 species
CCCUUAGAUGUUCUGGGCCGCACGUGUGCUACACUGAGUGGAUCAGCGGGUCAGGUUGCGCGAAAGUGUUUCCUAAUCUUUAAAUCCGCUCGUGAUGGGGAUUGACGGUUGCAAUUUUCCGUCAUGAACGAGGAAUACCUUGUAAGCGCGGGUCAUCAUCCCGCGCUGAAUACGUCCCUGCCCUUUGUACACACCGCCCGUCGCUCCUACCGAUUGAGUGGUCCGGUGAGGCUUUGGGAUCUGAGCGGAAAGAGCGUUUCGCUGUUUCUGCCCGGAAAACUCAGUCGAACCUUAUCAUUUAGAGGAAGGAGAAGUCGUAACA